GGUGAACGCUGGCGGCGUGCUUAAGACAUGCAAGUCGAACGCAGUCUUCGGACUGAGUGGCGCACGGGUGAGUAACACGUAACUGACCUACCCCCAAGUCGCGAAUAACCAGCCGAAAGGAUGGCUAAUACGUGAUGUGAUGAUCCGCUGUGGCGGAUCAUUAAAGACUUGAUCGCUUGGGGAUGGGGUUGCGUUCCAUCAGCUAGUUGGUAAGGUAAAGGCUUACCAAGGCAACGACGGAUAGCCGGCCUGAGAGGGUGGCCGGCCACAGGGGCACUGAGACACGGGUCCCACUCGUACGGGGGGCAGUAGUUAGGAAUCUUCCUCAAUGGGCGCAAGCCUGAUGGAGCGACGCCGCGUGAGGGAUGAAGGUUCUCGGAUCGUAAACCUCUGAACCAACGACGAAAGACCCGACAAGGGAGAUGACGGUAGUUGGGUAAUAGCACCGGCUAACUCCGUGCCAGCAGCCGCCGUAACAC
rnacentral:rRNA from 1 species